rnacentral:rRNA from 1 species
CAUGUAGUUAGCCGUGACUUCCUCGCCGGGUACCAUCACUCAGAAAGCUUUCCACUCUUUCUGCCUUUUGUCCCCGGCAACAGAGCUUUACGAUCCGAAGACCUUCCUCGCUCACGCGGCAUUGCUCGUUCAGGGUUCCCCCCAUUGACGAAAAUUCCCUACUGCUGCCUCCCGCAGGAGUCUGGGCCGUGUCUCAGUCCCAGUGUGGCCGUCCGCCCUCUCAGGCCGGCUAUGCAUCGUCGCCUUGGUGAGUCCGUUACCUCUCCAACCAGCUAAUGCCACCGCAGGUCCAUCUGCAUGGCGGACUCUUCGUCCCCUUUACCAAAAAGAGAUGCCUCCUCUUUGCUCAUCCGGUAUCAGUCCUUCCGUUACAG